UUGCCGCCGGGGUCUACGGGACCGUCCCUCCCAGGAAGACAGAACCCGACACCGCCUCCUGCUCCUCCUGCCUCCGUGGUUGAGGGCCGUCCUGGAGAGCGGUCCGCCGUCUCUUCUUCGUAUUGGACACUGUGUCAUCACUCAUUUUUAUUCAGCGAGCUGGUUAGCAGCCUUUUCUAUUUAAUUCAGUUGCUUGUUUGGGCUUUUAGCCAGAGAGUGUGUGAGGGACGGACACAUUUAGAUUCAGACAACGUGACUGCAUGCUACGAGCGACGAGAAAUAACGGAAAGCAGGAGCAGCGAGAAAGCCUGAAAAGGACCGGUUGUUGAUUUCACCAAGAUAAACAACUGGCACAACAAGGUUUUCCAGCUGAAGAGGAAGUAAAACUUCUUGUUGGACAUGGGAGCUAAAAGUUAUGAAACACUGCACAAAACCAGAUACGGACAUUUGAUCAUGAAAUAACCAGUUUUGUAGCUUUGCUGGAACCAAUGAUUUGCAGUUUAAAGAUCCAGAGACACUUAGACAUUAACAUCUGCUUUUUAGAAAUACAGAAGCAUAACUUUGUUUCUCUGCAGGUGAGCAAAGCAGGUGUUUUUUAGGGCAUCUAACGAACAUGAGCAGGGCAGACAUCUGGCAUAAAGUGGGCGCUGCAGGGGUCCUAACCUUAGAUUACAGUUUAGCAGAUUAGAGCUAAGCAGCAACCACCUUAAGCUCACCAGCCCCAUGAAACUCACGCUUCUAGCCAACAGAGCAUGCACAAAAACAUCCGCACACAAACACACACCCACUGGCACAGCUGUAGAACACAAUUAAAUUAGUGCAUUUGGCAGACGGUGUGCAAACCUAGCUUUGCACCAUACACACAUUAAAUCACAGGCAUAAAGAUGUGCACAUACACACAUAGUCUGGGGUAGAGGACAGAUGCUACGCCCUCCCCUCCUCCCGUCAUCCUCUCAAAGCCAGCUGGAGAGAAGAUGAGAUUUGGGGCUGAUUGGUUUUGUCUAUUUUUCCAUCACGCCCUGUGCGCCUCACUCCAUCCACCACUUUCGCCUUUCCACGGCGCAGCCUCAUCCAUGGACAAAUAGUCAUCAUAAAAAUCUGACAUCUGCACCAGUUUGAAAUGAACAGUGACAGGACUUCUUGACUGAUUUUUCUUUCUGAACUGUGGAUGCCAAAUUGGUGAGACAUCAGUGAGGUGAUAGAAGGAAAUGCUGUAUUCUUUUACAGCGUGUGAUGAAAACUAUCUUAAAGGGUUCUUUUUUAUACACUUCUUUUUCAUUACAAUUUCAUCAUAACACACAAAGAAUUGAAACUUUCUAUACUAACUUUUAAGACUUUGUGUUUGAGGAGAGCGUAAAGAAGAGUCACAUCAGAGGAGAGCUUUAAUCUCAACACAGUUGCUCUCAGUCAAGUAGCUCAGCGUGCCUCAGUGGCAGAUUCAGACAAUGGACUGAAAAGGGUAAAAGAAAAAAAGGAGAGACCUUGAAAGAGGGUGACACUGGGUGAGGUGAAACUUGAUAGAAAGACAAAAGGAAGAAAAGAAAGGAAAAACUGGUUGUUUUUUAUUGUCAAGGGUGGCUAGAGCAGUGUUGGAACAACCUUCAGGGUAAACCACCUCCCUUCUGCUGCUCCUCCUUCCUUCUUCCCUCCCUCUCUCCACCGCUCUCGACUAGUCUGCUGGCUGUCUUUGGCUACGUCGCUUCAGUGCAAACAGAGAGACGGAGGAAGAGAGAAAGCACAGCGCUGCAGCCAAGCUCAACAUUCACACAGAUGGCAGAGGAAACGAGAAAGACCUGCCGCAUCCAGCCGUUGGAUUUCACUGACGAUGGAUACUGCAGUUAAUCAAAUAAAAAGAGGCAGGGAAAAGUGACAGAGAUCCAGACAGAGAAAGCCAGGAAAGGGAAAGUUAUAAAGUUCAAAAAAGAGGAGGGAGUGGACAAAAGAUACAAAGGUGCAAAUACGCUGGGAUUGUACUCGAAACUGAAAGAGAGAUCACCUCACACUGAAAACAAAGGACCUCUGAAGCAGUCUGGCUACAGUUGUGUGUGAUUCAGCAGCGACUCCUGUGUGCGUGUGUGUGUGUGUUCGUGUCUGUUCAGACGUUUCAGUGUGUGAGACGAGUGCAUGGCUGUGGAGCAGUGAGAGAGAGAAUCCAGCGGGAGACACAGAGAAAGCGUAGGAGCUCCGGUGAGCGAACAGCUUGACUGUGAGACAGAUUGACUCUGACACUGUCCUUUGUAUUUUUGUGUGUGUGUUUGUGCGUGUCUUUGACAGACCGAUAAAGGGAGUGAUUGUGUGGUCCAUACUGGCAGCCAGGGGCUCGUCCCAGUCACUGUGACCAGACCGUGGUGGUCGCUUAGUGGAGGCACAGGAGGAAGAGGAGGAGGUAGUUGUGGGC